rnacentral:rRNA from 1 species
CCUACGGGUGGCUGCAGUGAGGACUAUUGGUCAAUGGACGAGAGUCUGAACCAGCCAAGUAGCGUGAAGGAUGACUGCCCUAUGGGUUGUAAACUUCUGUUAUAUGGGAAUAAAAUGUUCCACGUGUGGGAUUUUGUAUGUACCAUAUGAAUAAGGCUCGGCUGACUCCGUGCCAGCAGCCGCGGUAAUCCGGAGGAUCCGAGCGUUAUCCGGCUUUAUUGGGUUUAAAGGGAGCGUAGGUGGAUUGUUAAGUCAGUUGUGAAAGUUUGCGGCGCAACCGUAAAAUUGAAGUUGAAACUGGCAUUCUUGAGCACAGUAGAGGGGGGCGGAAUUCGUGGUGUAGCGGUGAAAUGCUUAGAUAUCACGAAGAACUCCGAGUGCGAAGGCAGCUCACUGGACUGCAACUGACACUGAGGCUCGAAAGUGUGGGUAUCAAACAGGAUUAGAUACCCUAGUAGUC